UCAUAAAUAGAAAAGAUGAGCAAAAAAAGGGGGGUGGGGGGGGGAAAGAGAAACGUGAACUGCUGUGCCACUUCAUUCCUUCUUUGACCUGUGAAUGGGGCUAUUCAUAAACUAAGAUUGCAGAGCUCCUUGAAAUAAGAAAUGCAAAUGUUAUCAUCAUGGCUUUGCUUUCCAAAGGUAAAUAGGCUAAUAAAUUUUAUGGCUGCUGAGUUAUCAGCUUGGUAGAAUAUAAAGGAGGAAAAAGAAGAGAAUUUGUUUCCUAGCAGCCAUAAAGUAACCCACAGCACUCCAUUUUACCUGCUCAUAGAAGCACUUAUGAAGCUAUUGUUAGGCCUGUUCUUCUUUUGGUGUCUUUCCUCAGAAGGAAAGACAGAUGAUCUCCUGGAAGAGCUGGGGAAACUAAAGGCUCUAGGAAACUUCCAGUUUUCAUGUGAGCAUGGGACGUCAACUGAGAUGCCUUCAUCAUCAGUUCACACUCUGAGGCCAGCUGACAUUAAAGUAGUCACUGCAAUAGGAAGUUUGCAAACAGUAAGUACAUGCAUGAACUGUGAUGAAUGUGACCCAUUUCCUCUGUUCUGACUCCGUGAUGAGGUAAUGGUGAACUGAGCUGGUGGUAAAAUUCGAGGUCCCAGUGAGGGCAUUUAUGACUUGAAACUUUCCAAGAGUAUUAAAGUUUUCUGCUGAAAAAUGGCUGGAAAUAACUUCUGAAUGUUCAGUGUUUCAGCAUACUCUGAAUCUAAAAAUAGCCAGCUGACUUCAUGAAGGAGAAAUUUGAUCACUGCUCUCUUUCUUACACAGAACCGUGAUAUCUGAUUAGUCUGCUUGGAUUUUCCUAACAAUAAGCUGAACAGAUCAAAUGACUGGAAGAAGUGUUUAGGAAAACUCAGACUUGGAAAAUGUACAGUUUUGGCGAUGACUGCCAUUAGGACAAACUAUCAAGAGAUGC
rnacentral:lncRNA from 1 species